AGAACAUUGAAAGCUUCUGAUUUGUUGUUUGGGAGUCACUGUUUGGGAAGUUUAUGUAUCAACUGCUAGGGGUUCCUGGUGUCACCUGGGAUGGGAUGAUUUGUGCUUUGUCUUGGAAAUACGGAGUGAACAGAUGAGAAUUCUUGUUAGCCCGGAGAACUAACCGAAUCAAUCCGCGGGCUUCUCUGCAGUAUUGACUCUCCUCGGUUGAACAAGUUAUGUCCUCUGGAUAAAGAUGUGACCAGUAGUUUCUCCAGCCUGUCUAUCCAGCAUGACUGUUCCAGCUGUGAAUGGGUAUACAUUCUAGCUCGGGAUUUGCUCCAGUGUGUGCUCCCUGAGCGGAUUGUAGUGGACAACAGUUACAAUACACCAGACACCAGAUUGCAUUUUCGUAGUAGGGGUAGAGAGUCAGAUGGACUGAAUUUUCCUUAUGGAUUUAUUAUUGUGAUUUGGGGCCUCGGAAGACAAGCAUUCUCUAUCAUCUUUUUCAAUAAAACACACAUCAUUUCAAUCCACAAAAUAUGAAUGCAAAUGUGUUAUGUCACUAUAUCAGGAUUAUUCUAUCCUUUUAUCUAAAAAGUGACAGUUUAAAAAUAAAGUACUCCAGGCAUCAGGGCAUAUGAUUUUAACCACAGCUACCAGGCUGAAGCAGGGAGUUACAAAUUCGAGGCCAGCCUAGGCAACAGAGUAAGACCCUGUCUCAAAAUAAAAAUAAAAGAUAGAAGAACUGGGAAUAUAACUCAGUGGUGGAGUGAUAGUGUGGGAAUCCACCAGAUCCUGGUCAAUCGGGGCUCAACCAGUAUGGUAAAGAAAAAAAAUAUACAUGACAA